UACGUAGGGGGGCAAGCGUUGUCCGGAAUUAUUGGGCGUAAAGAGCGUGUAGGCGGCCAGAUAAGUCCGCUGUGAAAUCUCGAGGCUCAACUUCGAGCUGUCGGUGGAAACUAUCUGGCUAGAGUCCGGAAGAGGAGAAUGGAAUUCCUGGUGUAGCGGUGAAAUGCGCAGAUAUCAGGAAGAACACCGAUGGCGAAGGCAGCUCUCUGGGACGGUACUGACGCUGAGACGCGAAAGCGUGGGGAGCGAACAGG
rnacentral:rRNA from 1 species